rnacentral:rRNA from 1 species
UGGGGAAUAUUGCACAAUGGGCGCAAGCCUGAUGCAGCCAUGCCGCGUGUGUGAAGAAGGCCUUCGGGUUGUAAAGCACUUUCUGCGGGGAGGAAGGCGAUAAGGUUAAUAACCUUGUCGAUUGACGUUACCCGCAGAAGAAGCACCGGCUAACUCCGUGCCAGCAGCCGCGGUAAUACGGAGGGUGCAAGCGUUAAUCGGAAUUACUGGGCGUAAAGCGCACGCAGGCGGUCUGUCAAGUCGGAUGUGAAAUCCCCGGGCUCAACCUGGGAACUGCAUUCGAAACUGGCAGGCUAGAGUCUUGUAGAGGGGGGUAGAAUUCCAGGUGUAGCGGUGAAAUGCGUAGAGAUCUGGAGGAAUACCGGUGGCGAAGGCGGCCCCCUGGACAAAGACUGACGCUCAGGUGCGAAAGCGUGGGGAGCAAACAGG